rnacentral:rRNA from 1 species
AUUAUUGAUUACGAAUUGUUGCUGUCUGUGCUGGCUCCGGCAAGUGCACGUCGGUGACUUUCAUCCAACACCCCUGUGCACUCUUGGCCUCUUGCUAGCUUCGGCUGGCUGAGGAUUUUUUACACACUCACUCGAAUGUAAUGAAAAACUAUGGUUGUGCGCAAGCACGAAUGUACAACUUUCAACAACGGAUCUCUUGGCUCUCGCAUCGAUGAAGAACGCAGCGAAAUGCGAUAAGUAAUGUGAAUUGCAGAAUUCAGUGAAUCAUCGAAUCUUUGAACGCACCUUGCACCCUUUGGCAUUCUGAAGGGUAUGCUCGUUUGAGUGUCAUUGUACUCUCAUACUCUCUGAUCCUUUUGGAUUUGGGAGCGAUGGACUUGGGUGUUGCUGCUUUACCGUGGCUCACCUGGAAUGCAUUAGUGCAUCUCUUGGUUGGGCAUAGUACGGCGUGAUAAAGUGUCUUCGCCGGCACCUCGCAAGAGGGUGGCUGACCAGGAGCUCUGUGCUUCCUAAUGGUCUUCGGACAAUCUCUGACGGCUUGACCUCAAAUCGAGUAGGACUACCCGCUGAACUUAAGCAUAUCAAUAAGCGGAGGAAAAGAAACUACAAGGAUUCCCCUAGUAACGGCGAGUGAAGAGGGAAGAGCUCAAAUUUUGAAUCUGGCGUCUUUGGCGUCCGAGUUGUAAUCUAGAGAAGUGUUUUUCCGUGACGGACCGUGCAUAAGUCUCCUGGAAUGGAGCGUCAUAGAGGGUGAGAAUCCCGUAUAUGGCAUGGACUACUGUUGCUCUGUGAUACACUCUCGACGAGUCGAGUUGUUUGGGAAUGCAGCUCCAAAUGGGUGGUAAAUGCCAUCUAAAGCUAAAUAUUGGCGAGAGACCGAUAGCGCACAAGUACCGUGAGGGAAAGAUGAAAAGCACUUUGGAAAGAGAGUGAAACAGUACGUGAAAUUGUUGAAAGGGAAACGCUUGAAGUCAGUCGCGCCGUUCGGGACUCAGCCUUGCUUCUGCUUGGUUUACUUCCCGUUGGGUGGGUCAACAUCAGUUUUGGUCGGAGGAGAAAGACUUGGGGAAGGUGGCAGCAUUCGUGCUGUGUUAUAGCCCCUUGUUGUAUACUUCGACUGGGACUGAGGACCGCAGCACGCCUUUGGCCGGGGUUCGCCCACGUACGUGCUUAGGAUGUUGGCAUAAUGGCUUUAAGCGACCCGUCU